rnacentral:rRNA from 1 species
ACCGCAUACGUUCCCGGGAGCUUCGGCGCCCGGGAGGAAAGCUAGGUCGCAAGAUCCGGCACUCGAGGAGGAGCCUGCGUCGCAUCAGCUAGUUGGUGGGGUACGGCCUACCAAGGCGAAGACGCGUAGCUGGUCUGAGAGGAUGAUCAGCCACACUGGGACUGAGACACGGCCCAGACUCCUACGGGAGGCAGCAGUGGGGAAUAUUGGACAAUGGGCGCAAGCCUGAUCCAGCCACGCCGCGUGAGUGAUGAAGGCCUUCGGGUCGUAAAGCUCUGUGGGGAGGGACGAACCGCUGCUGGUGCAUAGCCAGCAGCAUGACGGUACCUCCUUAGCAAGCACCGGCUAACUUCGUGCCAGCAGCCGCGGUAA